GACGAACGCUGGCGGCGUGCCUAAUACAUGCAAGUCGAACGCAGUGGGGACGGGUGAGUAACACGUGGGUAACCUCCCAUCAGAGGGGAUAACACUUGGAAACAGGUGCUAAACCGAUACUGAUGGAUGAACCCGCGGUGCAUUAGCUAGUUGGUGAGGAAACGGCUCACCAAGGGCAUGAUGCUUCGCCGACCGGAGGGGUGGAUCGGCCACACGGGAACUGAGACAGGGCCCAGACUCCUAGGGGAGGAAGCGGGAGGGAAGCUGCGGCAAUGGACGAAAGUCUGACCGGGCAUGGCCGCGUGAGUGAAGAAGGUUUUCGGAUCGAAAAACUCUGUUGUUAGAGAAGCUGUAUCUAACCAGAAAGCCACGGCUAACUACGUGCCAGCAGCGGCGGUAAUC
rnacentral:rRNA from 1 species